rnacentral:rRNA from 1 species
GCAGCGAUGCCGCGUGAGUGAAGAAGGCCUUUGGGUUGUAAAGCUCUUUCGUCGGGGAAGAAAAUGACUGUACCCGAAUAAGAAGGUCCGGCUAACUUCGUGCCAGCAGCCGCGGUAAUACGAAGGGACCUAGCGUAGUUCGGAAUUACUGGGCUUAAAGAGUUCGUAGGUGGUUGAAAAAGUUGGUGGUGAAAUCCCAGAGCUUAACUCUGGAACUGCCAUCAAAACUUUUCAGCUAGAGUAUGAUAGAGGAAAGCAGAAUUUCUAGUGUAGAGGUGAAAUUCGUAGAUAUUAGAAAGAAUACCAAUUGCGAAGGCAGCUUUCUGGAUCAUUACUGACACUGAGGAACGAAAGCAUGGGUAGCGAAGAGGAUUAGAUACCCUCGUAGUCCAUGCCGUAAACGAUGUGUGUUAGACGUUGGAAAUUUAUUUUCAGUGUCGCAGCGAAAGCGAUAAACACACCGCCUGGGGAGUACGACCGCAAGGUUAAAACUCAAAUGAAUUGACGGGGACCCGCACAAGUAGUGGAGCAUGUGGUUUAAUUCGAAGAUACGCGCAGAACCUUACCAACACUUGACAUGUUCGUCGCGACUUUAAGAGAUUAAAGUUUUCGGUUCGGCCGGACGAAACACAGGUGCUGCAUGGCUGUCGUCAGCUCGUGUCGUGAGAUGUUGGGUUAAGUCCCGCAACGAGCGCAACCCUCACUUUUAGUUGCCAUCAUUUAGUUGGGCACUCUGAAAGAACUGCCAGUGAUAAGCUGGAGGAAGGUGGGGAUGACGUC